rnacentral:lncRNA from 1 species
AAUUGUAAGAAUUCUUAGCUCAUUCAGAAGUAACUUUUAUUGGUCACUUGCUUGUUUAAUAAUCAAAAGCAUAACGUCAGCACAAAAGCACAGAAAGCUACUCUGGUAAGACACAGAGUCUCUGCCACUCGAGAUUACAUAGAAGCCUCAUUAUUUGCAGGUAUUAUAAUCCCAGGCAAACGAAAUUUCUUUCUGCAAACCUAGAACCUUUGACCCAUAUUUCCUCUGUCUGCUCUGCUCUUCCAAAGCGAAGAGGACAACUCACCCCGCUUCCUUGCAUCCACGUCCAUAUGUUCUGCCACCACUGUUUCUAAGAUGCUCUCAACCACGUAGAGUAAUUCUAACUUUUAAACAAAGACAUCGCACUGGCCCGCUGUAUGGAGAAUACUGGCUGAGAGGAGCUGCAGAGCCAGAGGAUCCACAACAGGUGACCAACCCAGACCUUCAUUCCUGGGGCUUCCGAGACGCAUGUGAAUAUCGUUCCAGCAGCCGGUUGUUAACACUUACCAGUGGAUAUGGAAGCACUGGGAAGAACCCCGGAGGAUGUCUUGGGUUCCGGAUAUAUUCCUCCGGGACUGCAUUGGAAAGAGCAAUUAUAUUUACCCUUGAAAGUCAGAAUCAAUUGCCCCAGGCUAUCAGUUACCCCCUUUUGGCGUGUUCACACUGUGGCACAAGGAGCCAAAAUUUCCAGAGAGCAGUUUCAGUUUCCAAUUUGUUUAAGCCAUUGGAGGUGGGUCUCUGCUCUUCAUAGCAGAACCUAACCCCCAACUGACGCAGAGGCGAAGACUGCAGAGUCCCUGCAUGCCCCUGGAGUUUACUGGACUUUGGCCCACAGCCUGCAGAGCAACAGAAGGGAUGGCACCAUGUCCCACUUUGCAUGUCCUGCCUCUCGUCUCACCUGGCUGCUCCUCUCCCGCAGGUUUCAGCCUCAUGUCAUCUCCUGUCUCCUUGACAGGCCCUCCUUGGUUACCCGCCUGGAAGAAGUCUCCCCACCCCAUGUUGCUACGUAUCACAAGACUUUGUUUUCUUUCACUGUAAUUGUCACGCUUUCGACCGUUUUGUGUGUUUACUUUAUUUCCAAAUCUCCUCACCUGCACCAGAUUUAACAAAUCCUCUCACUGAGGCUGACCUGGCUCCUGCUGAUCUGAGUGCCCAGCAGCCAGCAGCCUGUGAACACCGUGUGUGUCACAUGUGUUGGAGGGGGCACUGAUUUGUCCCCAACAGAGUAGACACAUCAAGCUGUGGCCCAGCGUGCUCCUGUCUGGCCAGCACCUGUGGACUGACUGAGGGUCUCACUCACCAUGGUUUUGCCACACUGCACUGCUUCUGACAAAAGAACCCGCUUUAAGGGGGAAGGAGCAGAGCAGAGCACCCAACUGUCCACGUGACGUCUCUUUCAGGAUGUUUUAAAGGCAUCUCAUGCUCAGCACAUCCAAACCAAACUCAUGAUCUUCCCCCGUAACCCAAGGCUCUUCCGCCAUUCUCUGAGUGAAUGGUGCUGACAGCUCCUUGGUACCCAAACCAGAAACCUCAGUGCCAUCCUUGUCGCCUCCCCCUCUCUCAUCCUCAUACCUAAUCCAUUUCCAAGUCUUAUUAAUGUUCCCUUCUAAACAUUUCUUGAAUUCAUCCACUUCUCUCCGUUUCCUCCAUCCAUGCUGGGUGGAACUUUCAGGAUGACUCUUUGUUACGGUAUUAAACAGAGACUGCCAAGCUUCACCCUCUUCUUCCUCGUUGCUGCUGGCAGCGUGGACGUGAGCCAGGGAGGUGCAGAAGGUCUCUUGUAAUCAUGAGGCGACAAGGACAAACACCUCUGUGCAGGAGGAUGCAAAGUGGAAAGACGGAGUGA